rnacentral:tRNA from 1 species
GGAUGUGGCUCAGUGAUAGAGCACUUGCCUGGUAUGUACAAGGCCCUGGGUUCAAUCCCAGUACCA